CUACCCAGAAGAGUGGCUCAAGUUCACAUUCAGAAUUUAUUUGUUGAAAGAGUAUCUCCACUUUAUCACAAUCGAGCACUUCCAAUUCUUUCAGAAGUGGCCAACUUGAACUAAACCUUCUAGAGCAAAAUCUUUUGAGUUGGUGUAAACCAGAGAGAGUGAGAGAGGUAAGGUUAGGGAAUAAGAGUAAAGGUGCUGCUUCAUCUUUAUUUUCAUUGGCAACAAUUGCCUCCACUCCACUCUCCGAUAUAUAUAGGUAAUCAAGUUGCACAAGAGCACUCGCCACAGAAACCGGAAAAAGGUUUAGCAAUUUGUUGCAUCCCCUUACUUGCAAUUUCCUUAAUUUGGAAAAUGAAUUUGCUGGAAGUUGGUCAGGCCACAAUGCUCUUAUAUUAUCUAGUCCACGUACAGACAAGGACUCCAAGCCUGGGAGUGCAACCUGUGCAAUUGAUGAUCCCUUUAGUUAAUAAUAUAUACAUAUACAUUCCUAAUAAUUAGACACAUGUAAAUAGAAAAUAAGAGGUUAAAGGAGAAUAUAUCAGUAUAACAAAGCACAAAAUUUAAACUAGAUUCAAGAAGAUCAAGAAAGAGAAAAGAAAAGAAAAAGCCUCCAGAUUUUGAAGAUACAAUGAAACUUAAAAAAAAAAAAAAAAAACCUCCAAAUUUUCCUUUCGAAAUGAGGUAAUAAGAGGAUUUUUCUUUGCCUCUCUUUCAAAUUUGAUUAACUUCUAUGGAAAACGUAUUUUAACUAGUUAUGGAAAACAUAUUUUUUUUUUUAAACUUUUAUAUAAGAUACAAGUAAUACUUUAAAAAAAUUGUGACAUCUAAAAAAUUUUUUGAAAAAUUAUUUUUAAAGAAAUAAGGUAAAUCUAUACUUUUUGUAUAAGAUGUUCUACCUUUAUAUACAAAUUUCUGAUUUUUUUUUUUUAAAGUGUAUCCAAAUGGACACUAAACUAUCUAGUUUUUAAUUGUUACAACUUUGAAUUGCAUUUUAUGGUAAACUAAUUUACAAGUUAAUGCAUGGAUUCAUCUUAGAUUCCAUCUAUAAAUUUUUUUAAUUAUCUAAUAUAAGACAUUAUAUUAAUGGGUUGAAUUAAUAAUGUAAUUAUAAUUUAUUUGGCAACUUUCUUCCUUCAAAUAUAUAAAAUGAAAAUAAAUUUUAAAAAAUAAAAAAAAAAUGAAAAACAUAAAAAAUAAAAAAAGAUUUUUUUUUAUAGUUUUUCUAAGAUGAUUUUGUAGAGUACUGUUAGUUUAUAGUUUUAACUUUAUUUCAUUUUACUUUUAACUUUAUUUAUUGAGGUAUGUUCUUUUUUGAAACUCUUGUUUAGAUUUUAUAGAGAAUAUAAAUUUUAAGAAAAAAAAUGAAAUUUAAAUAAAAUAAGAAUAAAGAAAGGCAAAAGGUGGAUGAAUUUUUUUAAGGCAAAAGUUUGAUAACUUGGCACUAUCAUGUAAUGGGUGAAAUUUUUAAAUACUCAACAAAGGCUAGUGAAAUUUAAAUUAAAAGCUUGAUAUGUACUUUUUCGACCAAAAUCUUUGGAGUUGGUGUAAAGUUUUGAGUAUGAGAGAGGUUAGUCUAGGGAAUACUAUUGCACAUUAGUUCAAAUAAAACAUCAACAUUUUUUUUUGUUAAAUUCUAAAUGAACACCACUAUAAAUUAAUGCGAUUUUGUAUGCUCAAUUAAAUAAACUCGUUCUUAAGGCAUCACAUGAAGUGUUUAAGUCUAAUGAAUAUUAAUUAAAAAUGAUUAUAUUAAAAAAAUCCAAAGUAAUUUAUUUUUAUCAUAAGUCAAGUAGGAUAGUUUUAUAAAUAAACUGUUCUAGUUUCUAGUAUAAUUGUACACAAUCGCUAUGUUUGUUGCACCUCCAAAAAAUCUACUACUUGUAAUUAAUUGUAUAUUAUUCUCCAUAUUCACAUCAGUUUAUGUAGUAUGAUUAAUUUAGCAACAAAAUAUAAGUUUACUUGAAAUCGCUUUAAAUUCCUAUGAUAUUAAAGUUUAAGAUUAAAACAAUGUAACAUUAGCCAAAAAGACUAAGAUCUAUAAUGUAACAUAUAAAAUUUAGAAAAUUCAAGGAAGGGUAAACUCGCACCUGUUCUACCCAGAAGAGUGGCUCAAGUUCACAUUCAGAAUUUAUUUGUUGAAAGAGUAUCUCCACUUUAUCACAAUCGAGCACUUCCAAUUCUUUCAGAAGUGGCCAGCUUGAACUAAACCUUCUAGAGCAAAAUCUUUUCAGUUGGUGUAAACCGGAGAGUGUGAGAGAGGUAAGGUUAGGGAAUAAGAGUAAAGGUGCUGCUUCAUCUUCAUUUUCAUUGGCAACAAUUGCCUCCACUCCACUCUCCGAUAUAUAUAGGUCCUCAAGAUGCACAAGAGCACUCGCCACAGAAACCGGAAAAAGGUUUAGCAGUUUGUUGCAUCCCCUUACUUGCAAUUUCCUUAAUUUGGAAAAUGAAUUUGCUGGAAGUUGGUCAGGCCACAAUGCUCUUAUAUUAUCUAGUCCGCGUACAGACAAGGACUCCAACCCUGGGAGUGCAACCUCUGCAAUUGAUGAUCCCUUUAGUUAAUAAUAUAUACAUAUACAUUCCUAAUAAUUAGACACAUGUAAAUAGAAAAUAAGAGGUUAAAGGAGAAUAUAUCAGUAUAACAAAGCACAAAAUUUAAACUAGAUUCAAGAAGAUCAAGAAAGAGAAAAGAAAAGAAAAAGCCUCCAGAUUUUGAAGAUACAAUGAAACUUAAAAAAAAAAAAAAAAACCUUCAAAUUUUCCUUUCGAAAUGAGCUAAUAAGAGGAUUUUUUUUUUCUUUUUUCUUUGCAUCUCUUUCAAAUUUGAUUAACUUCUAUGGAAAACGUAUUUUAACUAGUUAUGGAAAACGGAUAUUUUUUUUUUAACUUUUAUAUAAGAUACAAGUAAUACUUUAAAAAAAUUGUGAUAUCUAAAUAAUUUUUUGAAAAAUUAUUUUGAAAGAAAUAAGGUAAAUCUAUACUUUUUGUAUAAGAUGUUCAACCUUUAUAUACAAAUUUCUAAUUUUUUUUUUUAAAGUGUAUCCAAAUGGACACUAAACUAUCUAGUUUUUAAUUGUUACAACUUUGAAUUGGAUUUUAUGGUAAACUAAUUUACAAGUUAAUGCAUGGAUUCAUCUUAGAUUCCAUCUAUAAAUUUUUUUAAUUAUCUAAUAUAAGACAUUAUAUUAAUGGGUUGAAUUAAUAAUGUAAUUAUAAUUUAUUUGGCAACUUUCUUCCUUCAAAUAUAUAAAAUGAAAAUAAAUUUUAAAAAAUAAAAAAAAUGAAAAAAAUAAAAAAUAAAAAAAGAUUUUUUUUAUAGUUUUUCUAAGGUGAUUUUGUAGAGUAUUGUUAGUUUAUAGUUUUAACUUUAUUUCAUUUUACUUUUAACUUUAUUUAUUGAGGUAUGUUCUUUUUUGCAACUCUUGUUUAGAUUUUAUAGAGAAUAUAAAUUUUAAGAAAAAAAAUGAAAUUUAAAUAAAAUAAGAAUAAAGAAAGGCAAAAGGUGGAUGAAUUUUCUUAAGGCAAAAGUUUGAUAACUUGGCACUAUCAUGUAAUGGGUGAAAUUUUUAAAUACUCAACAAAGGCUAGUGAAAUUUAAAUUAAAAGCUUGACAUGUACCUUUUCGACCAAAAUCUUUGGAGUUGGUGUAAAGUUUUGAGUAUGAGAGAGGUUAGUAUAGGGAAUAUUAUUGCACAUUAGUUCAAAUAAAACAUCAACAUUUUUUUUUGUUAAAUUCUAAAUGAACACCACUAUAAAUUAAUGCGAUUUUGUAUGCUCAAUUAAAUAAACUCGUUCUUAAGGCAUCACAUGAAGUGUUUAAGUCUAAUUAAUAUUAAUUAAAAAUGAUUAUAUUAAAAAAAAUCCAAAGUAAUUUAUUUUUAUCAUAAGUCAAGUAGGAUAGUUUUAUAAAUAAUUGGUUCUAGUUUCUAGUAUUAUUGUACACAAUCGCUAUGUUUGUUGCACCUCCAAAAAAUCUACUACUUGUAAUUAAUUGUAUAUUAUUCUCCAUAUUCACAUCAGUUUAUGUAGUAUGAUUAAUUUAGCAACAAAAUAUAAGUUUACUUGAAAUCGCUUUAAAUUCCUAUGAUAUUAAAGUUUAAGAUUAAAACAAUGUAACAUUAGCCAAAAAGAUUAAGAUCUAUAAUGUAACAUAUAAAAUUUAGAAAAUUCAAGGAAGGGUAAACUCGCACCUGUUCUACCCAGAAGAGUGGCUCAAGUUCACAUUCAGAAUUUAUUUGUUGAAAGAGUAUCUCCACUUUAUCACAAUCGAGCACUUCCAAUUCUUUCAGAAGUGGCCAGCUUGAACUAAACCUUCUAGAGCAAAAUCUUUUGAGUUGGUGUAAACCGGAGAGUGUGAGAGAGGUAAGGUUAGGGAAUGAGAGUAAAGGUGCUGCUUCAUCUUCAUUUUCAUUGGCAACAAUUGCCUCCACUCCACUCUCCGAUAUAUAAAGGUCCUCAAGUUGCACAAGAGCACUCGCCACAGAAACCGGAAAAAGGUUUAGCAAUUUGUUGCAUCCCCUUCCUUGCAAUUUCCUUAAUUUGGAAAAUGAAUUUGCUGGAAGUUGGUCAGGCCACAAUGCUCUUAUAUUAUCUAGUCCACGUACAGACAAGGACUCCAAGCCUGGGAGUGCAACCUGUGCAAUUGAUGAUCCCUUUAGUUAAUAAUAUAUACAUAUACAUUCCUAAUAAUUAGACACAUGUAAAUAGAAAAUAAGAGGUUAAAGGAGAAUAUAUCAGUAUAACAAAGCACAAAAUUUAAACUAGAUUCAAGAAGAUCAAGAAAGAGAAAAGAAAAGAAAAAGCCUCCAGAUUUUGAAGAUACAAUGAAACUUAAAAAAAAAAAAAAAAAAACUUCCAAAUUUUCCUUUCGAAAUGAGGUAAUAAGAGGAUUUUUUUUUUCUUUUUUCUUUGCCUCUCUUUCAAAUUUGAUUAACUUCUAUGGAAAACGUAUUUUAACUAGUUAUGGAAAACCGAUUUUUUUUUUUUUAACUUUUAUAUAAGAUACAAGUAAUACUUUAAAAAAAUUGUGAUAUCUAAAUAAUUUUUUGAAAAAUUAUUUUUAAAGAAAUAAGGUAAAUCUAUACUUUUUGUACAAGAUGUUCUACCUUUAUAUACAAAUUUCUGAUUUUUUUUUUAAAAGUGUAUCCAAAUGGACACUAAACUAUCUAGUUUUUAAUUGUUACAACUUUGAAUUGGAUUUUAUGGUAAACUAAUUUACAAGUUAAUGCAUGGAUUCAUCUUAGAUUCCAUCUAUAAAUUUUUUUAAUUAUCUAAUAUAAGACAUUAUAUUAAUGAGUUGAAUUAAUAAUGUAAUUAUAAUUUAUUUGGCAACUUUCUUCCUUCAAAUAUAUAAAAUGAAAAUAAAGUUUAAAAAAUAAAAAAAAUGAAAAAAAUAAAAAAUAAAAAAUGAUUUUUUUUAUAGUUUUUCUAAGAUGAUUUUGUAGAGUACUGUUAGUUUAUAGUUUUAACUUUAUUUCAUUUUACUUUUAACUUUAUUUAUUGAGGUAUGUUCUUUUUUGAAACUCUUGUUUAGAUUUUAUAGAGAAUAUAAAUUUUAAGAAAAAAAAUGAAAUUUAAAUAAAAUAAGAAUAAAGAAAGGCAAAAGGUGGAUGAAUUUUUUUAAGGCAAAAGUUUGAUAACUUGGCACUAUCAUGUAAUGGGUGAAAUUUUUAAAUACUCAACAAAGGCUAGUGAAAUUUAAAUUAAAAGCUUGACAUGUACCUUUUCGACCAAAAUCUUUGGAGUUGGUGUAAAGUUUUGAGUAUGAGAGAGGUUAGUCUAGGGAAUAUUAUUGCACAUUAGUUCAAAUAAAACAUCAACAUUUUUUUUUUGUUAAAUUCUAAAUGAACACCGCUAUAAAUUAAUGCGAUUUUGUAUGCUCAAUUAAAUAAACUUGUUCUUAAGGCAUCACAUGAAGUGUUUAAGUCUAAUUAAUAUUAAUUAAAAAUGAUUAUAUUAAAAAAAAUCCAAAGUAAUUUAUUUUUAUCAUAAGUCAAGUAGGAUAGUUUUAUAAAUAAUUGGUUCUAGUUUCUAGUACUAUUGUACACAAUCGCUAUGUUUGUUGCACCUCCAAAAAAUCUACUACUUGUAAUUAAUUGUAUAUUAUUCUCCAUAUUCACAUCAGUUUAUGUAGUAUGAUUAAUUUAGCAACAAAAUAUAAGUUUACUUGAAAUCGCUUUAAAUUCCUAUGAUAUUAAAGUUUAAGAUUAAAACAAUGUAACAUUAGCCAAAAAGAUUAAGAUCUAUAAUGUAACAUAUAAUAUUUAGAAAAUUCAAGGAAGGGUAAACUCGCACCUGUUCUACCCAGAAGAGUGGCUCAAGUUCACAUUCAUAAUUUAUUUGUUGAAAGAGUAUCUCCACUUUAUCACAAUCGAGCACUUCCAAUUCUUUCAGAAGUGGCCAGCUUGAACUAAACCUUCUAGAGAAAAAUCUUUUGAGUUGGUGUAAACCGGAGAGUGUAAGAGAGGUAAGGUUAGGGAAUAAGAGUAAAAGUGCUGCUUCAUCUUCAUUUUCAUUGGCAACAAUUGCCUCCACUCCACUUUCCGAUAUAUAUAGGUCCUCAAGUUGCACAAGAGCACUCGCCACAGAAACCGGAAAAAGGUUUAGCAAUUUGUUGCAUCCCCUUACUUGCAAUUUCCUUAAUUUGGAAAAUGAAUUUGCUGGAAGUUGGUCAGACCACAAUGCUCUUAUAUUAUCUAGUCCGCGUACAGACAAGGACUCCAAACCUGGGAGUGCAACCUGUGCAAUUGAUGAUCCCUUUAGUUAAUAAUAUAUACAUAUACAUUCCUAAUAAUUAGACACAUGUAAAUAGAAAAUAAGAGGUUAAAGGAGAAUAUAUCAGUAUAACAAAGCACAAAAUUUAAACUAGAUUCAAGAAGAUCAAGAAAGAGAAAAGAAAAGAAAAAGCCUCCAGAUUUUGAAGAUACAAUGAAACUUAACAAAAAAAAAAAAAAACCACCAAAUUUUCCUUUCGAAAUGAGGUAAUAAGAGGAUUUUUUUUUUUUCUUUUUUCUUUGCCUCUCUUUCAAAUUUGAUUAACUUCUAUGGAAAACGUAUUUUAACUAGUUAUGGAAAACAUAUUUUUUUUUUAAAAAACUUUUCUAUAAGAUACAAGUAAUACUUUAAAAAAAUUGUGAUAUCUAAAAAAUUUUUUGAAAAAUUAUUUUUAAAGAAAUAAGGUAAAUCUAUACUUUUUGUAUAAGAUGUUCUACCUUUAUAUACAAAUUUCUGAUUUUUUUUUUAAAAGUGUAUCCAAAUGGACACUAAACUAUCUAGUUUUUAAUUGUUACAACUUUGAAUUGGAUUUUAUGGUAAACUAAUUUACAAGUUAAUGCAUGGAUUCAUCUUAGAUUCCAUCUAUAAAUUUUUUUAAUUAUCUAAUAUAAGACAUUAUAUUAAUGGGUUGAAUUAAUAAUGUAAUUAUAAUUUAUUUGGCAAGUUUCUUCCUUCAAAUAUAUAAAAUGAAAAUAAAUUUUAAAAAAUAAAAAAAAUGAAAAAAAUAAAAAAUAAAAAAAGAUUUUUUUUAUAGUUUUUCUAAGAUGAUUUUGUAGAGUACUGUUAGUUUAUAGUUUUAACUUUAUUUCAUUUUACUUUUAACUUUAUUUAUUGAGGUAUGUUCUUUUUUGAAACUCUUGUUUAGAUUUUAUAGAGGAUAUAAAUUUUCAGAAAAAAAAAAUUAAAUUUAAAUAAAAUAGGAAUAAAGAAAGGCAAAAGGUGGAUGAAUUUUUUUAAGGCAAAAGUUUGAUAACUUGGCACUAUCAUGUAAUGGGUGAAAUUUUUAAAUACUCAACAAAGGCUAGUGAAAUUUAAAUUAAAAGCUUGACAUGUACCUUUUCGACCAAAAUCUUUGGAGUUGGUGUAAAGUUUUGAGUAUGAGAGAGGUUAGUCUAGGGAAUAUUAUUGCACAUUAGUUCAAAUAAAACAUCAACAUUUUUUUUUUUGUUAAAUUCUAAAUGAACACCACUAUAAAUUAAUGCGAUUUGUAUGCUCAAUUAAAUAAACUCGUUCUUAAGGCAUCACAUGAAGUGUUUAAGUCUAAUUAAUAUUAAUUAAAAAUGAUUAUUUUAAAAAAAUCCAAAGUAAUUUAUUUUUAUCAUAAGUCAAGUAGGAUAGUUUUAUAAAUAAUUGGUUCUAGUUUCUAGUAUUAUUGUACACAAUCGCUAUGUUUGUUGCACCUCCAAAAAAUCUACUACUUGUAAUUAAUUGUAUAUUAUUCUCCAUAUUCACAUCAGUUUAUGUAGUAUGAUUAAUUUAGCAACAAAAUAUAAGUUUACUUGAAAUCGCUUUAAAUUCCUAUGAUAUUAAAGUUUAAGAUUAAAACAAUGUAACAUUAGCCAAAAAGACUAAGAUCUAUAAUGUAACAUAUAAAAUUUAGAAAAUUCAAGGAAGGGUAAACUCGCACCUGUUCUACCCAGAAGAGUGGCUCAAGUUCACAUUCAGAAUUUAUUUGUUGAAAGAGUAUCUCCACUUUAUCACAAUCGAGCACUUCCAAUUCUUUCAGAAGUGGCCAGCUUGAACUAAACCUUCUAGAGCAAAAUCUUUUGAGUUGGUGUAAACCGGAGAGUGUGAGAGAGGUAAGGUUAGGGAAUGAGAGUAAAGGUGCUGCUUCAUCUUCAUUUUCAUUGGCAACAAUUGCCUCCACUCCACUCUCCGAUAUAUAAAGGUCCUCAAGUUGCACAAGAGCACUCGCCACAGAAACCGGAAAAAGGUUUAGCAAUUUGUUGCAUCCCCUUACUUGCAAUUUCCUUAAUUUGGAAAAUGAAUUUGCUGGAAGUUGGUCAGGCCACAAUGCUCUUAUAUUAUCUAGUCCGCGUACAGACAAGGACUCCAAACCUGGGAGUGCAACCUGUGCAAUUGAUGAUCCCUUUAGUUAAUAAUAUAUACAUAUACAUUCCUAAUAAUUAGACACAUGUAAAUAGAAAAUAAGAGGUUAAAGGAGAAUAUAUCAGUAUAACAAAGCACAAAAUUUAAACUCUAUUCAAGAAGAUCCAGAAAGAGAAAAGAAAACGCCUUUUGAUUUUGAAGAUCCAAUGAAACUUUAAAAAAAAAAAAAAAAACCUCCAAAUUUUGCUUUCCAAAUGAGGUAAUAGGAGGAUAUUUUUAUUUUAUUUUUUCUUUGCCUCUCUUUCAAAUUUGAUUAACUUCCAUGGAAAACGUAUUUUAACUAGCCAUGGAAAAUGGAUUUUUUUUUUAAAACUUUUAUAUAAGAUACAAGAACUCUUAGAGGGUUACAUUAUGUAAGUAAUACUUUAAAAAAAAUGUUUAAAAAUAUUGUGAUAUCCAAAAAUUUUACUACCUCGGAUUUUAAAUUUUAAAAAAAUUAUUUUUAAAGAAAUAAGGUAAAUCUAUACUUUUUCGUAUAAGAUAUUCUACCUUUAUAUACAAAUUUCUGAUUUUUUUUUUAAAGUGUAUCCAAAUGGACACUAAACUAUCUAGUUUCGAAUUUUUACAACUUUGAAUUGGAUUUUAUGGUAAACUAAUUGACAAUAUAACGCAUGGAUUCAUCUUAGAUUCCAUCUAUAAAUUUUUUAAUUAUCUAAUAUAAGACAUUAUAUUAAUGGGUUGAAUUAAUAAUGUAAUUAUAAUUUAUUUGGCAACUUUCUUCCUUCAAAUAUAUAAGACGAAAAUAUAUUUUAAAAAAUAAAAAAGAAUGAUAAAAAAUAGAAAAUAAAAAUAGCUUAUUUUAUUGUUUUUCUAAGAUGAUUUUGUAGAGUGUUAGUUUAUAGUUUAACUUUAUUUCAUUUUACUUUUAACAUUAUUUAUUGAGGUAUGUUCUUUUUUGAAACUCUUGUUUAGAUUUUAUAGAGAAUAUAAAUUUUAAGAAAAAAAAUGAAAUUUAAAUAAAAUAAGAAUAAAGAAAGGCAAAAGGUGGAUGAAUUUUUUGAAGGCAAAAGUUUGAUAAUUUGGCACUGUCAUGUAAUGGGUGAAAUUUUUAAAUACUCAACAAAGGCUAGUGAAAUUUAAAUUAAAACCUUGACAUGUACCUUUUCGACCAAAAUCUUUGGAGUUGGUGUAAAGUUUUGAGUAUGAGAGAGGUUAGUCUAGGGAAUAUUAUUGCACAUUAGUUCAAAUAAAACAUCAACAUUUUUUUUUGUUAAAUUCUAAAUGAACACCACUAUAAAUUAAUGCGAUUUUGUAUGCUCAAUUAAAUAAACUCGUUCUUAAGGCAUCACAUGAAGUGUUUAAGUCUAAUUAAUAUUAAUUAAAAAUGAUUAUAUCAAAAAAAAUCCAAAGUAAUUUUUUUUUAUCAUAAGUCAAGUAGGAUAGUUUUAUAAAUAAUUGGUUCUAGUUUCUAGUAUUAUUGUACACAAUCGCUAUGUUUGUUGCACCUCCAAAAAAUCUACUACUUGUAAUUAAUUGUAUAUUAUUCUCCAUAUUCACAUCAGUUUAUGUAGUAUGAUUAAUUUAGCAACAAAAUAUAAGUUUACUUGAAAUCGCUUUAAAUUCCUAUGAUAUUAAAGUUUAAGAUUAAAACAAUGUAACAUUAGCCAAAAAGACUAAGAUCUAUAAUGUAACAAAUAAAAUUUAGAAAAUUCAAGGCAGGGUAAACUCGCACCUGUUCUACCCAGAAGAGUGGCUCAAGUUCACAUUCAGAAUUUAUUUGUUGAAAGAGUAUCUCCACUUUAUCACAAUCGAGCACUUCCAAUUCUUUCAGAAGUAGCCAGCUUGAACUAAACCUUCUAGAGCAAAAUCUUUUGAGUUGGUGUAAACCGGAGAGUGUGAGAGAGGUAAGGUUAGGGAAUAAGAGUAAAGGUGCUGCUUCAUCUUCAUUUUCAUUGGCAACAAUUGCCUCCACUCCACUCUCCGAUAUAUAUAGGUCCUCAAGUUGCACAAGAGCACUCGCCACAGAAACCCGAAAAAGGUUUAGCAAUUUGUUGAAUCCCCUUACAUGCAAUUUCCUUAAUUUGGAAAAUGAAUUUGUUGGAAGUUGGUCAGGCCACAAUGCUCUUAUAUUAUCCAGUCCGCAUACAUACAAGGACUCCAAGCCUUGGAGUGCAACCUGUGCAAUUGAUAAUCCCUUUGGUUAAUAAUAUAUACAUAUACAUUCCUAAUGAUUAGACACAUGUAAAUAGAAAAUAAGAGGUUAAAGGAGAAUAUAUCAGUAUAACAAAGCACAAAAUUUAAACUAGAUUAAAGAAGAUCAAGAAAGAGAAAAGAAAAGAAAAAGCCUCCAGAUUUUGAAGAUACAAUGAAACUUAAAAAAAAAAAAAAAAAACCUCCAAAUUUUCCUUUCGAAAUGAGGUAAUAAGAGGAUUUUUUUUUUCUUUUUUCUUUGCCUCUCUUUCAAAUUUGAUUAACUUCUAUGGAAAACGUAUUUUAACUAGUUAUGGAAAACGGAUUUUUUUUUUUAAAAACUUUUAUAUAAGAUACAAGUAAUACUUUAAAAAAAUUGUGAUAUCUAAAAAAUUUUUUGAAAAAUUAUUUUUAAAGAAAUAAGGUAAAUCUAUACUUUUUGUAUAAGAUGUUCUACCUUUGUAUUCAAAUUUCUGAUUUUUUUUUUUUAAAGUGUAUCCAAAUGCACACUAAACUAUCUAGUUUUUAAUUGUUACAACUUUGAAUUGGAUUUUAUGGUAAACUAAUUUACAAGUUAAUGCAUAGAUUCAUCUUAGAUUCCAUCUAUAAAUUUUUUUAAUUAUCUAAUAUAAGACAGUAUAUUAAUGGGUUGAAUUAAUAAUGUAAUUAUAAUUUAUUUGGCAACUUUCUUCCUUCAAAUAUAUAAAAUGAAAAUAAAUUUUAAAAAAUAAAAAAUAAAAAAAAGAUUUUUUUUAUAGUUUUUCUAAGAUGAUUUUGUAGAGUUCUGUUAGUUUAUAGUUUUCACUUUAUUUAUUGAGGUAUGUUCUUUUUUGAAACUCUUGUUUAGAUUUUAUUGAGAAUAUAAAUUUUAAGAAAAAAAAUAAAAUUUAAAUAAAAUAAGAAUAAAGAAAGGCAAAAGCUGGAUGAAUUUUUUUAAGGCAAAAGUUUGAUAAUUUGGCACUCUCAUGUAAUGGGUGAAAUUUUUAAAUACUCAACAAAGGCUAGUGAAAUUUAAAUUAAAACCAUGACAUGUACCUUUUAGACCAAAAUCUUUGGAGUUGGUGUAAUGUUUUGAGUAUGAGAGAGGUUAGUCUAGGGAAUAUUAUUGCACAUUAGUUCAAAUAAAACAUCAACAUUUUUUUUUGUUAAAUUCUAAAUGAACACCACUAUAAAUUAAUGCGAUUUUGUAUGCUCAAUUAAAUAAACUCGUUCUUAAGGCAUCACAUGAAGUGUUUAAGUCUAAUUAAUAUUAAUUAAAAAUGAUUAUAGUAAAAAAAAUCCAAAGUAAUUUUUUUUUAUCAUAAGUCAAGUAGGAUAGUUUUAUAAAUAAUUGGUUCUAGUUUCUAGUAUUAUUGUAGACAAUCGCUAUGUUUGUUGCACCUCCAAAAAAUCUACUACUUGUAAUUAAUUGUAUAUUAUUCUCCAUAUUCACAUCAGUUUAUGUAGUAUGAUUAAUUUAGCAACAAAAUAUAAGUUUACUUGAAAUGGCUUUAAAUUCCUAUGAUAUUAAAGUUUAAGAUUAAAACAAUGUAACAUUAGCAAAAAAGAUUAAGAUCUAUAAUGUAACAAAUAAAAUUUAGAAAAUUCAAGGCAGGGUAAACUCGCACCUGUUCUACCCAGAAGAGUGGCUCAAGUUCACAUUCAGAAUUUAUUUGUUGAAAGAGUAUCUCCACUUUAUCACAAUCGAGCACUUCCAAUUCUUUCAGAAGUAGCCAGCUUGAACUAAACCUUCUAGAGCAAAAUCUUUUGAGUUGGUGUAAACCGGAGAGUGUGAGAGAGGUAAGGUUAGGGAAUAAGAGUAAAGGUGCUGCUUCAUCUUCAUUUUCAUUGGCAACAAUUGCCUCCACUCCACUCUCUGAUAUAUAUAGGUCCUCAAGUUGCACAAGAGCACUCGCCACAGAAACCCGAAAAAGGUUUAGCAAUUUGUUGAAUCCCCUUACAUGCAAUUUCCUUAAUUUGGAAAAUGAAUUUGUUGGAAGUUGGUCAGGCCACAAUGCUCUUAUAUUAUCCAGUCCGCAUACAUACAAGGACUCCAAGCCUGGGAGUGCAACCUGUGCAAUUGAUAAUCCCUUUGGUUAAUAAUAUAUACAUAUACAUUCCUAAUAAUUAGACACAUGUAAAUAGAAAAUAAGAGGUUAAAGGAGAAUAUAUCAGUAUAACAAAGCACAAAAUUUAAACUAGAUUAAAGAAGAUCAAGAAAGAGAAAAGAAAAGAAAAAGCCUCCAGAUUUUGAAGAUACAAUGAAACUUAAAAAAAAAAAAAAAAAACCUCCAAAUUUUCCUUUCGAAAUGAGGUAAUAAGAGGAUUUUUUUUUUAUUUUUUCUUUGCCUCUCUUUCAAAUUUGAUUAACUUCUAUGGAAAACGCAUUUUAACUAGUUAUGGAAAACGGAUUUUUUUUUUUUAAAACUUUUAUAUAAGAUACAAGUAAUACUUUAAAAAAAUUGUGAUAUCUAAAAAAUUUUUUGAAAAAUUAUUUUUAAAGAAAUAAGGUAAAUCUAUACUUUUUGUAUAAGAUGUUCUACCUUUGUAUUCAAAUUUCUGAUUUUUUUUUUUAAAGUGUAUCCAAAUGCACAAUAAACUACCUAGUUUUUAAUUGUUACAACUUUGAAUUGGAUUUUAUGGUAAACUAAUUUACAAGUUAAUGCAUGGAUUCAUCUUAGAUUCCAUCUAUAAAUUUUUUUAAUUAUCUAAUAUAAGACAUUAUAUUAAUGGGUUGAAUUAAUAAUGUAAUUAUAAUUUAUUUGGCAACUUUCUUCCUUCAAAUAUAUAAAAUGAAAAUAAAUUUUAAAAAAUAAAAAAAAUGAAAAAAUAAAAAAUAAAAAAAAGAUUUUUUUUAUAGUUUUUCUAAGAUGAUUUUGUAGAGUACUGUUAGUUUAUAGUUUUCACUUUAUUUAUUGAGGUAUGUUCUUUUUUGAAACUCUUGUUUAGAUUUUAUUGAGAAUAUAAAUUUUAAGAAAAAAAAUGAAAUUUAAAUAAAAUAAGAAUAAAGAAAGGCAAAAGGUGGAUGAAUUUUUUUACGGCAAAAGUUUGAUAAUUUGGCACUAUCAUGUAAUGGGUGAAAUUUUUAAAUACUCAACAAAGGCUAGUGAAAUUUAAAUUAAAACCUUGACAUGUACCUUUUAGACCAAAAUCUUUGGAGUUGGUGUAAAGUUUUGAGUAUGAGAGAGGUUAGUCUAGGGAAUAUUAUUGCACAUUAGUUCAAAUAAAACAUCAACAUUUUUUUUUGUUAAAUUCUAAAUGAACACCACUAUAAAUUAAUGCGAUUUUGUAUGCUCAAUUAAAUAAACUCGUUCUUAAGGCAUCACAUGAAGUAUUUAAGUCUAAUUAAUAUUAAUUAAAAAUGAUUAUAGUAAAAAAAAUCCAAAGUAAUUUUUUUUUAUCAUAAGUCAAGUAGGAUAGUUUUAUAAAUAAUUGGUUCUAGUUUCUAGUAUUAUUGUAGACAAUCGCUAUGUUUGUUGCACCUCCAAAAAAUCUACUACUUGUAAUUAAUUGUAUAUUAUUCUCCAUAUUCACAUCAGUUUAUGUAGUAUGAUUAAUUUAGCAACAAAAUAUAAGUUUACUUGAAAUGGCUUUAAAUUCCUAUGAUAUUAAAGUUUAAGAUUAAAACAAUGUAACAUUAGCCAAAAAGAUUAAGAUCUAUAAUGUAACAUAUAAAAUUUAGAAAAUUCAAGGAAGGGUAAACUCGCACCUGUUCUACCCAGAAGAGUGGCUCAAGUUCACAUUCAGAAUUUAUUUGUUGAAAGAGUAUCUCCACUUUAUCACAAUAGAGCACUUCCAAUUCUUUCAGAAGUGGCCAGCUUGAACUAAACCUUCUAGAGCAAAAUCUUUUGAGUUGGUGUAAACCGGAGAGUGUGAGAGAGGUAAGGUUAGGGAAUAAGAGUAAAGGUGCUGCCUCAUCUUCAUUUUCAUUGGCAACAAUUGCCUCCACUCCACUCUGAAAUAUAUUUAGGUUCUCAAGUUGCACAAGAGCACUCGCCACAGAAACCGGAAAAAGGUUUAGCAAUUUGUUGCAUCCCCUUACUUGCAAUUCCCUUAAUUUGGAAAAUGAAUUUGCUGGAAGUUGGUCAGGCCACAAUGCUCUUAUAUUAUCUAGUCCGCAUACAGAAAAGGACUCCAAGCCUGGGAGUGCAACCUGUGCAAUUGAUGAUCCCUUUAGUUAAUAAUAUAUACAUAUACAUUCCUAAUAAUUAGCACAUGUAAAUAGAAAAUAAGAGGUUAAAGGAGAAUAUAUCAGUAUAACAAAGCACAAAAUUUAAACUAGAUUCAAGAAGAUCAAGAAAGAGAAAAGAAAAGAAAAAGCCUCCAGAUUUUAAAGAUACAAUGAAACUUAAAAAAAAAAAAAAAAAACCUCCAAAUUUUCCUUUCGAAAUGAGGUAAUAAGAGGAUUUUUUUUUUUUUCUUUUUUCUUUGCCUCUCUUUCAAAUUUGAUUAACUUCUAUGGAAAACGUAUUUUAACUAGUUAUGGAAAACGGAUUUUUUUUUUAAACUUUUAUAUAAGAUACAAGUAAUACUUUUAAAAAAUUGUGAUAUCUAAAAAAGUUUUUGAAAAAUUAUUUUUAAAGAAAUAAGGUAAAUCUAUACUUUUUGUAUAAGAUCUUCUACCUUUAUAUACAAAUUUCUGAUUUUUUUUUUUAAAGUGUAUCCAAAUGGACACUAAACUAUCUAGUUUUUAAUUGUUACAACUUUGAAUUGGAUUUUAUGGUAAACUAAUUUACAAGUUAAUGCAUGGAUUCAUCUUAGAUUCCAUCUAUAAAUUUUUUUAAUUAUCUAAUAUAAGACAUUAUAUUAAUGGGUUGAAUUAAUAAUGUAAUUAUAAUUUAUUUGGCAACUUUCUUCCUUCAAAUAUAUAAAAUGAAAAUAAAUUUUAAAAAAUAAAAAAGAAUGAAAAAAAUAAAAAAUAAAAAAAGCUUUUUUUUAUAGUUUUUCUAAGAUGAUUUUGUAGAGUACUGUUAGUUUAUAGUUUUAACUUUAUUUCAUUUUACUUUUAACUUUAUUUAUUGAGGUAUGUUCUUUUUUGAAACUCUUGUUUAGAUUUUAUAGAGAAUAUAAAUUUUAAGAAAAAAAAAGGAAAUUUAAAUAAAAUAAGAAUAAAGAAAGGCAAAAGGUGGAUGAAUUUUUUUAAGGCAAAAGUUUGAUAAUUUGGCACUAUCAUGUAAUGGGUGAAAUUUUUAAAUACUCAACAAAGGCUAGUGAAAUUUAAAUUAAAAGCUUGACAUGUACCUUUUCGACCAAAAUCUUUGGAGUUGGUGUAAAGUUUUGAGUAUGAGAGAGGUUAGUCUAGGGAAUAUUAUUGCACAUUUGUUCAAAUAAAACAUCAACAUUUUUUUUUGUUAAAUUCUAAAUGAACACCACUAUAAAUUAAUGCGAUUUUGUAUGCUCAAUUAAAUAAACUCAUUCUUAAGGCAUCACAUGAAGUGUUUAAGUCUAAUUAAUAUUAAUUAAAAAUGAUUAUAUUAAAAAAAAUCCAAAGUAAUUUAUUUUUAUCAUAAGUCAAGUAGGAUAGUUUUAUAAAUAAUUGGUUCUAGUUUCUAGUAUUAUUGUACACAAUCGCUAUGUUUGUUGCACCUCCAAAAAUCUACUACUUGUAAUUAAUUGUAUAUUAUUCUCCAUAUUCACAUCAGUUUAUGUAGUAUGAUUAAUUUAGCAACAAAAUAUAAGUUUACUUGAAAUCGCUUUAAAUUCCUAUGAUAUUAAAGUUUAAGAUUAAAACAAUUUAACAUUAGCCAAAAAGAUUAAGAUCUAUAAUGUAACAUAUAAAAUUUAGAAAAUUCAAGGAAGGGUAAACUCGCACCUGUUCUACCCAGAAGAGUGGCUCAAGUUCACAUUCAGAAUUUAUUUGUUGAAAGAGUAUCUCCACUUUAUCACAAUCGAGCACUUCCAAUUCUUUCAGAAGUGGCCAACUUGAACUAAACUUUCUAGAGCAAAAUCUUUUGAGUUGGUGUAAACCGGAGAGUGUGAGAGAGGUAAGGUUAGGGAAUAAAAGUAAAAGUGCUGCUUCAUCUUCAUUUUCAUUGUGAACAAUUGCCUCCACUCCACUAUAAAAUAUAUUUAGGUUCUCAAGUUGCACAAGAGCACUCGCCACAGAAACCGGAAAAAGGUUUAGCAAUUUGUUGCAUCCCCUUACUUGCAAUUUCCUUAAUUUGGAAAAUGAAUUUGCUGGAAGUUGGUCAGGCCACAAUGCUCUUAUAUUAUCUAGUCCGCAUACAGACACGGACUCCAAGCCUGGGAGUGCAACCUGUGCAAUUGAUGAUCCCUUUAGUUAAUAAUAUAUACAUAUACAUUCCUAAUAAUUAGACACAUGUAAAUAGAAAAU
rnacentral:lncRNA from 1 species